rnacentral:rRNA from 1 species
GACGGAGGAUGCAAGCGUUAUCCGGAAUGAUUGGGCGUAAAGCGUCCGCAGGUGGCAGUUCAAGUCUGCUGUCAAAGACCGGGGCUUAACUUCGGAAAGGCAGUGGAAACUGAACAGCUAGAGUAUGGUAGGGGCAGAGGGAAUUCCCGGUGUAGCGGUGAAAUGCGCAGAUAUCGGGGGGAACACCUAUGGCGAAGGCAGCUCGCUGGGACGUUACUGACGCUGAGACGCGAAAGCGUGGGGAGCAAACAGG